rnacentral:tRNA from 1 species
GGGCUGGGCUCAGUGGCAGAGCGCUUGCCUAGCAUGCCCGAGGUACUGGAUUCGAUCCUCAGCACCACA